CACCCCCCCCCCCAUUCACUGAUUUAAGCCAACCACAAAAUUACAUCGGGAAAGUAUAUUUUGGAAGAAGGGCGGGGUCCGAGUAGAUAAUCCGCAUUCAGAUUAAAUCGACCGAGAGAAUGAGGGGAGUGUAUUUGUUGAGGUCACCAACUACCGAGAAUCAACGUUCAAUUCUCAGGGAAAGCACUGGAGAGGGGGAAGGGUGGGCGCAGGUCCGAGGCUGAGCCCCUGGCGGGCUGGGGGUGCGGGCGCUCGCGCGUGGAGGGGGGAGACUCCCGGAUGAUCCCACGCGCGGCCCCGGCGCGCCAGGCAGGAGCGCGCAGGGCGGCGAUUCACUCUCUCGGGGCGUCCCUAAUGGGCACUCGUGCAUUCCUGCUCGUGCGGUGAGCGCACGCACGCUGCCGCUGGGUUUCAGGCCCCCAAAUAAAGGCGGCGGCGCGGGGUGGGGGGCGGGCACCAAGCGAAGGAGCUCCAGGCAGAUUGUCUUGUCUCUCCCAGGAGCUGGGAAGAGGGCCAGCCCCGUGCCCUGCACGCCGGGCUCUGCUCGGCAGCUUGCCGGUGAACGGAGAGCCGGUGGAGCAGCAGCCGCCGCGCACGGUUCGGGCCGUGUCACCAUUUCUGCGCCUGCUGACCUGCCCUGGAGAGGGAGAAGGCGGCAGCACCUCAGAGGAAUUAUUUCAUCAGCACUCAUCAAUUAUUGCUAAUUGUUUUGUGCUAAAAACACUAAAAUAUUAAGAAAACAGAAGAGUGAGAGAAUCACCACCUAGAAGGAUGAUACGACAGUGAAAUAAACCAUCAGUACUGCAUCAUCUGCUUCCUUAUUACAUUCCUUAGCGUAUUACAUCAUCUUGCAAGAAGGUAUAGAAGACGGAAGACACCAUUUUUGUUUCUUUCAUUGCAUCCAGUUGAGAAUCCAGAAUUUUUCGUUUCCUAUACAAGAUGGUAAAGAGAAGAAAAUUGACAAAAGAAAAUGUUUUAUCAUAGUUAGACACAUCAGAAGGGACAGCAGUGCUGUUGACUCUAAUAAUGCUCAUGAAAUUGCUUUUAUAAGCAAAAUCUCAGACUAUGAGUCUUACAAGAUAAUAAUCUGGAUGAAUUUUUCUCAAACUUCUGAAUCGAUGAAUAAACAGUAUCUUUCCGAGGACAAAGAGAAACUAUGAUAUUCUCAUCCAGUUAGUCAUUCGUCAGGAAUGAUUUCAUCACCCAAUAUUUUGCAACAAGAACCUGGACCAUCCUGUUUUGCUCAAAGAUCUUAAAACCUUGAAGAAGGCAGAACAACUGGGAAGAGAAAGAAGUAAAAGAGAGAAAAAAUAAAAACUUCAAAGCAAAGAGAUGGAAAGGAACAAAGAGAAAGAACAAGAAGAAGCUCUCCGGUGUCUGUUCUUAUAAGGGCACCAAUCCCAUCCUGAGGGCCCCACCUGCACGACCUCACCUCACCCCAAGUACCUCCCAAAGCUUCACCUCUGGGCGCCUCACAGGGCACCAAAAGGCACCCAAAGGUGUCAACUCUCAAGAUUUAGAGGAAAACGCAGCAGUUGUGAAUGCCUGCCUGCCUCUGUUCCUGCUCAGUCAUGCUCUGCUCUCCGGAUUCCUGAGUCAGCUUCAGAUUGCAGAGGAAGACAAGUCUCUCACAGACCGAGCAGCCUUAGGAGUUUGAGAGCGGGGAGCACCCCCUCAGGAAAGCACAGAAUUGGUGGAAGCUGGCUAGGGAAUGGCCUUCAGUCAGGCCUGACCAGACAGAGCCAAGGUUCCCUGCGUCACCCGAGAAGAGCCUUCCGUGCGGGCUCAGGGCAGCCCGGGAAAUGACUCAUUGGUGUCCCUCCUUUUCUCACGCUCUUAGAAGCUCCAGCCUCUUGUGGCUUUCUCUGCCGUCAGGAUGGCACCAGGGGCCCGAAGUGACUUCCUGGGAGCCAGGUGGUGAGGUCAUCAUGGAAGGAAUGUGUCAGGGCUCUUUUGCUCUGAAGUGGAUCUCUGUCCCUCCCGAGCCCCGCCUCUGGCAUCACCCCAACCAGUCCUGGGGUCCUUUUUCUUGUCGCUGCUGCCACCGCUGUCCAUCUGCUUCCCUACUGUACAGACUGUUUUGCUUCAGUCUGUAGCAGUUUCUGCACAUGGAGACCUGUUCUUUCCAACAAGUGAACGAUAAGCUUCCUCAAGUCGGGUUCCUUCUGCGUGAUGCUACAGUCCUGGACGCGCCAGCAGCUCUUGAGGACACAGAUCUGGGAUUUGUGCAUGGUGACCAGUGAAGACCUCUGGCUCAACAGAGAAAACAUGGAGGCUUUGGUCCCCCGCCAUUCCCCAGAGAACCGCAGAUCACUGCAGCCUCUGUCCCACUGUCACAACCUGUGACUCUGAGGUGCAAAUUUGGCCAUGCCGGAGAGGUAAUUUUAGGGAGCAGAAUCGAGCAGUUGCUUCUGCCUUAAUUUCUGAUGCUUUACGAAGGCAGAGCUGAAGGCUGCACCACCAGGAACUUGUUCUGGAGACUGGAAGUCAGAAAUCAGGCAAGGUGCUGGCCUUCUGGAGGCCUUCGAGGAGAAUCCGUGUUCUUGGCUUUCCCACCUGCUGAAGCCACUUGCAUGGGUAGGCUGCUGGGCCCUGGCUCCAUCUGCAGAGUGCAUCACCCCAGCCUCUGGCCUGUCAUCACAUGGCCUUCUUCUCUGACUCUGACUCCCCUCGUGCCCCUCUUACGAGGAGCCUUGGGAUGACACUGGCCCACUGGGAUACUCCAGGGUCAUCUCCCCAUCUUAAGAUCUUGGACUUCAUCACAUCUGCAGGGCCCUUUGUUCCAAGGUCAAAAUUGCAGGUCCUAGGAGUUAGGAGAGGGCCAUCUUUGGGCCUCGCUACUUAGGGCCAUUAUUCAGCCUACUGCCGACCCCCUUAGAGCAGAUGUUGCCAAUACGCUUUGAGCUUCAGCAGAAGCCUGCCCCACAGCUGUUUCUCUGGAAGGUGAUGGUUGGUAUUCAGAGGCUGAGGCCAGUCUUUUUCUGUGUACUCGUGAAUACCACGUGGCUUGAGAGCCUCAUGUAGCCACCACUUGGCCUUCGCUGUGCACUUACCUGGUUCUGGGUAAUGGGGUCUUCAGUUGCCUUUGCAGAAAAGAACACAGAAGUGUGAUCAUGAGAUUUUGUGAAGAGCACUCAGUAAUUACCAUAGGACCCAGGGAGCUGUCUGGGAAGGAUUCGAAAACACUUGUGACAGAGGCCUGUUGAUUGUCCUUCCACGGUGCUUGAGCUGCUGCUUUUUCUGAGCACUUCCUAACUAAUUGGAAGCCAAGCUGAGCAUUAGUCUAAAGCCCCAGGUAUGUCCAUUUGAUCAGGACUCCGCUUCUUGGUUUCUCACCGCAAGAACAUCAUGUGUAGCAACUGGAGUUUGCGUUCCUCUUAAAAAAGCUCUUGGGCCACAGUGAUUAUGCCAGAUUUAAAGGUCCAUGGGCUUAAUGGAUGUGGGUGGGGUCUGAAGUCACAGCUUUGAGAACAACUGGAGUUCAUGGUGAGAGGAGAGGAUGGAAAGAGGGGCAGCACUGUGAAUGCUGCAUCCUUUUAAAGAUAAGCAGCGUUUGGAAAGAGUAGAUGGUAGAGCCCAAGCUAUUUCUCAACUGCCGUGAUUGAGUGUGCUAUGCGCAGGGAUAGGCUAGGUAGGGGAUACCUAGGCAGCCUUUACUUACAAAUUAGCCAGGAUUGGCUGAACUUGAUAGAAAUAUAACUGGUUUAAGCAAAAGGAAAAAAAAAGGAAAAAUUUUGGUUCAAAUAUCUUCAAGCUUGCAUAGAUAGAGGCUGCUUUCAGGCAUAGCUGGAUCUGGGGGUCCAAAUGUGUCCAAAUGUGUCAUCAAGACUCCAUCUUGCCGUGUCUCUCAGUUCUGCUGUCUUCCCAUUAGCACCGAGGUCCUCUGGACUUGUAUCCUAUCAGCUAAGCAACCUCAAUGGGAAAGAACAGUGUUUUUCCCAAAAAUUUCAACAGAAGUUGUUGAACUGAUUCCCAUUGGCCUGGUUUGAGCUGUAUGACCAUCCUUAAGUCAAUUAACAUGUGACCAGGAGGGUGUGAUGCUCUGGUUGUCUGGGUCUGGGUCACCUGUCCCUCUUGUCCUGCAGUCAUGACAGGGGGUCAGACCUAACUGAACCACCAGCCCUGAGAAUGGAGGAAAGUUGGCUCCCCAGGGAAAAUUGGUUGUUGUUAACAGAAAACGGAGGAGCAGGUGCUGGUGAGGCAGAAAUAGCAGAAUGUCCAUGGCAACUUAGCACUGGAAGGGCUUGUUGAAAGGCUGUUCGAUUACUUUCUAGAAGGAAAAGAGCAUGUGUGUUGCUGUUACAGAUCUUCCUGAGAACGUUUGUGUCGUCAUCCUUGGCCCUGAUCUGCAGUUAGGAGGGCAUAUGUCAUUAGACUUCAGACAACUGGGAUUUAUUUCAUGAAGUUUACAAAGUAGAGAGCAAAACACUGGCUUUGUAAAAAAGCAAAAAGCAAAAAAACAAAAAAACAUUUGGAGAUCCUGAAAGUCAGAGCAUUAUCUUUCCCAAGGGAGCUUCAAGGGACACAAAAUGAACCAAAAAAUGCUUAUUGAUAUGUCUAAACUGUGCCCAGAAAUACCAUUCAUUAAAUGUUAUCUCCAGUGAGAGACUCUGGGAAGGUCUUAAUACUCUGCGACACUCAGGCUCUCCCACUUAAUAAGGGAAGGCUUGUUCUGGCCGUGGUCCAAUGGAGCUUGCUACAUUCUAUCUCCCAAAUUCCCUUUCCAUUUCCUGUGGAAUUCUUCCCUUUUUUCUUUUCCUUUUAUCUUUUUUUUAUCUUUUUUUUAAAAGAAAUUGUUAAAAUUCCUUUUCCAGCCUGAAUUUGCUUCCUGGUUAUUUAUAAGAGCUGUGUGCCACCCAGAGGUGGCUGGUUUUUCAGACAGAGACAUGCACGUUUUAUCUUUAGUGUUCCUCCUUAAUUUGAAUGUGGAGUGAAAUGUGACCAGACCCAGGGUUUGGUCAGGUGUCGCCAUGUCUAGAGGAUGACAGUAGCAGUCAGGACGCUUUGCUUUGAAAGUAACAAAAAACCCAGCUCAGACUGGCUGAAAUGCUACAGGAAUUUAUUGGCUCGGUAGCUCAAAUGUCUAGGGAUUAUCAAGCUGCAGGCAUAGUUUGAUCAGGCAUUUUUCACCUGCUUUAGUCACUGAUGUAAUGACCUAGGCACUUAGAGCACUGUUCCUAAUAGUAAAUAUUUUUUGAAUGAAGAAAAUUAUUCUGACUCUGCCUUUUUCUGUGGGUUGGUUUGUGGGUGAAGAGGCAAAAUCUUCUUUCUGUCUGUCUCUCCUUCUUUCUCUCCUCUCCCCUCUGCCAACAGUGCUCCCACUUGCAUUACUAUUUUGCUAAAUCCUCACAAAUGCCCAAGGCCUCUAGCAUUUUACAGCAAAGGAAACCAAGGCCAGAACUCUGAAAGAAUGUACCGUUGGACAGUCCUUUCACUCCCCUAUAGAGCUCUGAUGGCAGAUAUUUCUCUUCUAAUUUCUCAGCCCAUACCUUUUUUUAUAUCCCAAAUGAGCCGCUGCCCCUCAGCCAGCAGGAUAAGGAGCUGAAAUUCAUUUUCUAGUCCUGCUGGUCUCUAUAUUUUCAAAUUGGCAGCAGAAUCCUUUUCUAAUCAUAACUGCUGUUAGUUUGUGAAACGGGAACAUGUGGCAGCUAGAGCAAUGCAUGGGGAGAGUGGGGAACCCUGGGCCUCCCUGGGGAGAAGCAUUGCUCUCCCCCCGCCCCCACCCCAGGCCAGGUCUCUACAACAUGGGAGCUGUGCCGAUUCUAGCUUUUCUGAAUUUAAACCUUUUAUACCUCCAGAGCAUCCCAAAGCUCACAUGGUCGUCUUUCUUCCUUUUUUUUUUUUUAAGGUCUUUUUUUUUAUUAUUAUGUUCAAUUAACCACACUGUCUUUUUUCAAAUGACCAAAUGCACUCUGAUUGUGUGCAAACUGGAUUUCCAGUUAUUUAUUUCAAACAGUUAAUUUUUUUCAUUCUUUUAUUUAAAAACGUCCCAUGUCCUUGGGCUGAACCUCCUGAUGGAGGAGGUCCCCCUGCUUCUCCUGCUACUCCUUAUGGAUGGUAUAUCAAAGAGAUGCAUGUUGGGCCCUGACACCCUUCUGGAGGACAGACUUAGGUGAACCAAGUCCAAGGUGAGAAAGAGGACAAACAGAGCCCAACUAAAAAUUACGCGGUUUGAACUUCAAUCAAGACCCCAAAAUCAAAGGCGGUGUGUGACAGGUCCCACAUAGUUGCCAGGAUUUUUUAAAUGGGCCUCUCUUGCCAGGCUGAGGAUCCACAGGCCAGAGAUAACACUGACGAGAAGCCAGGAGUCUCUCCAGUUGUGGUGUGGAUCUGCACCAGUAGCCUGGGCCAGGGCCCACAGCAUUUCAUGUGUGCUCCCCUGGGUCAAUUCACCGCACCACAUCGCCUAGCUCUUUGUGAACCCAGACAAGAAGAAGACACCAUUAGCAGCCCGACUGCCAAGUUGUUCCCUCCUCUCAACCCUCAGGCCGGGUAUUAUCUGUACAGGUAAGAUGGGGAACCGUGUAACAGAAGGCAGAGCAGGUAGGUUUGCACGCACCUGCUUGAACAACCCUUCUUGAUAAAUGGGCGGAGGCCCACCUGCAUGGAGGUCUUUCUUCGUCCUGCUUGUCAUUAGUGGUCUCAACAGAGAGAUGUGAGGGAGGGAGGCUUGGCACAUUUGCAGCUGAAACGAAGCCAGGACAGUUCUAUAGAUGAGAGAAGGAAAGCUUCAAGAGGUCUCAGGCUCCAUCCAGGCGUGAUGGAUGGAGUCACCAGGGAACAGUGUCAAGUCUUAGGUUUAGAUCCAUGAAAUCAAUUCCCUCAUCCCCACAUCAGUGGGAAGCCCAGCCUUUAACUCCCUUCCUGAGGUUCCAACUCUGAAUGUCUCUCUAUUUGCUCAGAGACGUUCCUUCAGGUCUGCAGACCUUCCGCAUGGAUCCCUUUCGUCCCUGAAGUGGUUUCUGGGGCUGUAUGGGAAUGCUCUGCCCCACUCCAUGCCCGCUUGUGCCAGUACCAUCUAGCACUGUGGGACCCACGGGGGGACCGAGUGGGGACUGUGGUUUCCAUAGCCACACAUAGGACAUGAAGCUCCCCAGACUGGGGACCAGGCGGAGGCUGCACAGGACUUGGGGUAGGCAGUGCUGCUGAGCAGGGGCUGGCCGCCACACGCCGACCGUUCCUGGCUGUGGGCUGGGCCUUGGAGGCUGCCGCAGACCUUGCUCCUUAUAUGACUGCCCGUGCCCAGAAUACCUGCUCUCCAGCUUUGCAGCGCCGGGGUUUUCACGGCUCUGCUCUCUGCUGGCCCUGCUUCGUUUGAGUCUGUCAGGAUCUUUAUCACGGCUGAAGAUUUUUUUUUUAGGGGUAUGUAUAUGAGUAGUUUCAAUGUUCUCUGAUAGCUCUUUUUUUUAAUUUAUAUUUUCUUCUCUCCCAAUUCAAUAUAUAUACAUAUAUAUGUAAAACAUGUGCAGCCUUCUGUGAAUAUUCUGUGAAUAUUGAAUAUGGAAGCAAUUACUCGAGGUUGCAGUAAUUACUUUUAUACAACUAGAGCUGGAGACUCGUGAAUCAAUUCCAUGCCCAUUAGCAAUGUAUGCUGGAGCCAAGAUUUUCUUUUCCUUUCUUUUUUUAAUAGGACUGGACAGUGUUGAAUCCUUGAAAAAAAAAACACUUUUCUAUUUUUUUUUAAGCUGACAGCACAUUCCGUCUACUCGGCAAUGUAGAACUAAUGAAGAUGUAAGUGUAAGAAAACCUAUAAUUGAAUGCAGCACGUAGCAGGCAUAGUUUAACACAAAGCACACCCAGCUGAAAUCACAUGUACUAGCUAGCGGUCUAAUCCUGUCAGGCCAGCCAGCGCUAGGAAGUAUUUCUGGAUUGUGUCUCAGGCGGUGUUUGCUCUCCAUGUAGCCAAGGCGGAAUAAAAAUGGCUUCAAGCUAAGUCAGGGAGCACCCAACGUGCCUUUGAUAAGGUUGCCCUUUGGUGGAUUAUUUAAAGGGUAACGAUAGGAAAAGUAAUCCUGAGAAACUGAGGUGUUUGGAUGAGAGAUCUCCUCAGAACUUUCCUUCCUUUUCCCUUGACAAUGUUUGUCAGCUCCCUGCGUGGUGGCCAGAGGUGUGUCUCUUCCCACAUUGCAGAAUUGGGGCAGUCCCUCAGGGACGUGCCUUUUGGUCCCAGCCCUCGGGUUUCCAGCAUUCAGGGCCUGAUCAACCCAGCUGACUAGUUCCCUGCAUCUGAGGACCCCUUUGAUGUGUGGUCAGCGUGGGAGGGAGACUAGAGUGGAAAUAUGUGUUUUCCUUUCAAAAUUCUUGAUUGGUGAUUCACUGCCAGGUGUCCCCAAUGCCCCCAGCUGCUCUGUCCCCUGCAGUUGCUCCCUGGGGAUGAGCGCUCCUGAUGCCUCGUCCUUGGCUCUGCCUUGCUUCCUGGCUGGGGAGGGAAACUUCGGCGUAGCCCCCAGAAACUGUGCUCUGAAUUGGUGCCUGCCAAAGGCAGGCAGACGUGUUCCUUUGUGAGCCUCUCCGACCAGCCAGCCUCACGGAAGGAGCACCGGGCUACAAAGGGCUUGAAGCUGAAUGCCUCUGCUUGGCUCCUCUAGGGCCCCCCACUCCCUGUUGUUUCCCAUCCAGCCAUAUUUGGGUUCUCUGUUGCUCCCCCCCUCCUUGACUGAGAUCACUGGAGCUGUGCUUAUGUGGAAACUGUAACAGAUUUAUACUGUGACACCCACUGCCAGGCUGCCCCCGCUCUGUCCCCAGUCCCUUGGGUUGAGGGCAUGCUUAGCUGCCUGGCCCCAGGAGCAAGGGCAUUCUGCUCCCAGUCUGUGGAAGGUAGCAUGACCUUCUGGGCUGGGCCCUGGGGAACCGGGCCAGAUGCGCUGCCAGGCCCCGUCCCCAGGACCUCAGAGGCCUGUGUUUGGGGCUGCAGGGAAGCCCCUGGGUGUCUGCUGAGCAGGCGGCCUCCGUCUGGACACCCAGCCCUUUCAGCUGUUGAGCCCUAGUUGGAAGAGGCAUUCCAGGGACAUUCUUUCUGUCUGGAUCAACGACUUGGCCUGAACUGUGAACCAAAAACCGGAACAAACUGCACCAGUUUGCUCAACCUCGAACCAAAUCCAAAUAGUUUUUAUAUCACUAAGAACCAAACCAGAGUUCUGGGGUUUGGUUUGGUUUGUUUUCCCACCAGAGAACAUUCAGUGAACGAGGCCAAACUGGAACAGGACUCGUCUACCUCCUCAGGCGACUGAGAGGGAACACGAAGAGAACCUCAGCAUGGAUUUUGGACCAAGUUGGCUCAUGGGCUGGAACACACUAGAAGGCAGGGUUAGAGCUGCAGGGAUUGCACUAGGUUGACUCCAGGAUGGAGGGGCUGUGGUGAGAGACCUCUGCUCAGAAGACAGGCGAAGUGCAGAUCCACAUCUCUGUGGACGGUGCUCUGUGGUGUGGGUGGCCCAGAAACUUGCUACCGGGCAGCCAUGAUGACUGCAGGAUGCCACAGAUGGGCACAGCGCCAUGCAACAGGUAGGGACUUGAAUAAAAUGAUGUUGAUUUUUCAGAAGUUUUUUACGGUCUAUUCCGGGUAAAUCAAUAGGCAGUUUUCGUUAGCUUCUGGCCCAUGCUAAGGCACAUCCCAAAGAGGUAACAACCGCACGACUCCUGCUAUCUUGGAGCCCAUGGGACACCUUGGGGGUGUUAUGUGAUACUACAGUGCACUGAAGAGAAGCUGCAAUGGUUUAAAUAGUGUACCCCCCCCACAUUUGUAUCUGGCCGGAAACCUAGAAGGUAACUUUUUCAGGAAAUUGGGUCUUUGCAGAUGUCAUUAGUUGUGGGUCUCGAGAUGAAAUCAUCCUGGAUGUAGGGUGGGCCCUGAAUCCAAUGACUAGAGAAUUGUGGGGAGAAGAAGACCAUGUGAGGACAGAGGCAGAGGUAGGAGGGAGGCAGCCAUAAGCCAGGGGACCAGGUGCUGGAAGAGGCAAGAAAGGAAUCUCCUGUGGUGCCUUUGCAGGGAGCACAGCCCUGGUGACACCUUGAUCUCAGACCUCUAGCCUCCUGUAUUGUGCGGGACAGUAAAUGUCUGUUGAACUGAAGCCAUCCAAUGUGUGAUGCUUUGUCAUGGCGGCCAUAGGACGCUCCUACGGAAGCCCUGGAGACACACAGGGCCUGCCACACCCACACCUCCUCUCUGAGGAAAAUGGUAUCUUUUGUGUCCUGUGGCUUCACUACCCUCGUCACACACGGUCGGACCAAGGAUUGGCUAGACUCAUGACAGUGGCCGCCCAUGCGGGGCCUGGUUCCUCUAGAUGGGAAGGCCUUCUACCAACCGUUCUUUGACCAAGGGAGACACAUACACCCCAUAGGGGCAUGGUGGGAAGAGAAGUGGAGCCAGAAGGCAGAAAGCAUGAGGCAAGCAGAGCAGGAGAGAGAGGGAGAGAGAAGGAGAGAAAGAGUAAGGCUGUGUUGAGAAUGACAGGGUCGCGAGAAUCGCCAGCCGCACGGCCCCCUCUAGGAGGACAGGUCCCUGUGACACUCCACAGAAGCCCAAGUCUGGUUACUGUGAUUGUGUUUGCUUUCUGGGCCCUUCACUUCCUCUGGAUUCUUACAAUUCAUCCCCAAGUCCACAGAGAACUGGAGCAUUUCUCUGUCCUCUUCAAUCUGAAACAGCCCAUUCAACACACAAACACCACAGAAGUGAAACCACCACAGAAGAAUAAGAGUUCGGGUGUGGUUGUGUUUAAUCCAAGGCUUGUCCAUAGAACUUGUUUGCUGGCUGUGUUGGCCUGUGCAGGUUUCUUAACCUCUCUGAGUUGCGGCGUCCUCUUGUAUCAGAUGGGAUUAAUGUCAUCCUCCAGAGGGUUUUGUUAAGGGUUAAAUAAGCCAUAGAAAGUGACCUAUCCACUACAAUGCCUAGCAUAAAGCAUGCCCUUGAUAGUUUCCUUCCCUUCAAGUGUCUGUACCUGAGACUGGACUUGGGUCUGGGCCUGUGGUGUUGGAAACAGAUGUGUGCUUCCAGUUGAACCAGUCUGGCAAGCGAUAAUUUGAAAAUGCUUUGGUUGGGUUUAAUAACAAAAUUUAAGUUUAGUUUGUUUGGAAAUUUAGCAGAUGAGUGUGGUUUUGGGUCCUCCCCACCCUCUUUAUGUUUGUUGGUUUAUGGCUUGAUUCAGUCGAUGUCCCUGAAAGAACCCGCCCAUAUAGCCUUAAUUUAAUCAGCAGAAAUCUUGCAGAAAUAGAUUUUUGAAAACCACUAGCCUGCCAAAACAUUCCCUGGCUUAUCAAAUAUUUUUUACAAGUCUGAUAACACUCAGUACACCAUUGGACCUUAACAGUACUCUGCAGCCAAAUCAGCAAUGACCUCACCCACCUUUCCCCAGCGCUGUGCCCUUCUCUCUUCCUCCAGCCCUGAGGCCUCCCACUUCCUGUCCCUUAGUUCCUUAAGAGAAGGAAGAACAUAAGAUUUCUUGAAUGUUGGCAUUUUCAACCUGAGCACAGCGACUUAGCAACAACAAAAGAGAGUUUGGACAAAACAGAUGACAUGAUCUGUUGCCGCAUAUUUUGUCUUUGGAAGGUUGAAAUGCAUUUCAAGCCCUAGCCUAUAUUUUUCAUCCUUUCUCUCCUCCACACCCCAAUCCUCUUCCUAACAGCUGUGCUCAGCAGGCCUUUUCUCUGGCUGAGCAGCUCUGGGAGGUGGGUCUCCUCCGGCACACCCUCUCUGAUAUGGUCACCUGCUGCUGCACUCCAACAGCCGAGUGGAAGGCAGGACAGAAGAGCCUGGUGUGAACAGCUGAGAAUACCUGUCAGCUAGGGGCAGGUGAGGGGCAGUGUGACAAAGGGUGAGCCUGUGUGCAGAGGCUGCAAGGGGUUCAGCCAUAUUUUCUUUAAAAAAAAAAAAAGAUGUGUGGCAAACAUGGCGUAAUGUUAAGACUUGAUAAAAUUAGUUAGAGGUGACAGUCUGCGCUAAUAUCCUCCAGACUUGCCUAAAUGUUUGAAAUACCUUGUCGUGAAACUUUAUUUUAAUAGUACUUUCAAAGAGAGGUUUUGGACUUAAAAAGAAAAAAGAAAUGAAAGCAUCUGCUGUGUUAAGAAAGGCUUCAGUUGGGGUACCUGGGUGGCUCAGUCAGUUAAGCGUCUGCCUUCGGCUCGGGUCAUGAUCCCAGGGUCCUGGGAUCAAGACCCGUGUCAGGCUCCCUGCUCAGUGGGGUGCCUGCUUCUCCCUCUGCUACUCCCCCUGUGCUCACUCUCUCUCAAAUAAAUACAUAAAAUCUUUUAAAAAAGGAGAAAGAGAAAGUCUUCAGUUGUAGCAGUCCAUACAGAAUUUGCCGUGUGUCAGUGGGAACUGGGGUAUUGAAAUGGGCCUCACAUUUGAAUGACUUUCCUGAGCAUGUUUUGAGAUCAAGGUCAAAGUAGUUUUUGUUUCCUCCCCCCAAACAAAGCCACGCAUCCAACCCAUGGACCCAAUGUUAACCCUUGAAGGAUUCGAUCAUGUAUGAAAGUUUCUUCAAAUAGAACCUUCUUCGUAGUGGUAUUUUUUAUACUUUCCAUCCAGAGCCAGUUUAUUUCUCAAGAUUGUUCCCUGUUGGAUCAAAAGAGAAGUAUCUGUUCCAUCAUUGCCCAUGGCCAGGACACUGGUUCCUGGUGAAGUUUGUGAGGUUCCAGGACAAUGUGUGUCAUGCGAGGGCCACUGCACGCUCCCCUGUACGUGAGGGAGCAUACGUGUUCCUGGGUCUUGGUCUGCCGGUCAUCCAUGGUACUCUCAGCGAAGCCCCAUGGAAUGUCAGGGGUGGGGUAGGGCAGCAAAUUCAUGCCCAGCACCGCGGCAAGCCUUAAUUUGCUCCUGAGAUGGUUGAGGACCAGGGUAGCACUAUUUAUAGACGAACCACUUCAUGAUGACCCAGUGCUGCUCACAUAUUUUUCGUUUCUCCAUUGAAGUAUAUAAUUACCCUUUCCUUGGCUAUGAACUUUCAGAAUAUGGAGCAGCCACACUCACAAGGACCUCCUACGACUAGCGGUGACUUCUUUGACUUUCUUGGAGGAGCUGCCCGGUGAUCUCAGCCUGUCUUCUGGGCAGCAGCAAAGGUCCCAGGGUGGGCUAAGUGUGUGCAAUGGGCGUUUGGAAGUCAGAGGUGAGCUGUCAUGUCCUGGACUUUCUGGUCACUUGAAUGGACUGCCUUUUUCUUAUCUUUCUCAUGGCAGUGGUAGCAUCCAAAGACGUUGCUAAGUUAAUGAAAGUGCCCCUGGUGGCCAAAGCUGGCAUAAAUUGAGCAACAAAACAAAGUAGUGUUGCUUUAUUACCCAAAAUAUGAAAUAAAUAUCCAUGAGUGCAUACUGACAUAAAAAAAAUGAUUGAUAAAGCAACAAAGAGGUAGAAGAAACAACUCACCUGUACAGAUAAAUUCCAGAUAAUAAGUGUAGACACCUCAUCUUAAAGGAGGGGAGAGCCACACAUAGCAACUUUCUUCCAAAGACACUAAGCAAAAGGAGAAAAAAGACAAACUUCCCAGUGGAGACACCUGAAAAACAGCUCCUCUGCCAGGAGAUCAAGGUCAGCAUCAACAAUCAAAAAUCAUGUCGAUAGCACGUGCCCUUGAUAUUGUUGUAAUGAAAAUAGCAUUUCACCUCUGUGGUCUUUCUCUCCCAAAUCCAUAACCUCAACCUAAUCAUGAGAAAAACACUAGACAGAUACCAAUAGUAGGACAUCCUGCACUGUACCUGACCAGUGCUCUUCAAAACUGUCAAAGUCAUAAAAAACAAGGAAAGUCUGAGAAGCUGUUACAGCCAAGAGGACCCUGAGAAGAUGGGACUGCUAAAUAUAAUGUGGCAUCCUAGAUGGGAUCCAGAACUGAAGGGCAUUAGUUUAAAACCAAGGAAACUGAGGUGCCUGGGUGGCUCAGUUGGUUAAGCAUCUGACUAUUGAUUUCGGCUCAGGUCAUGAUGUCAGCGUCGUGAGCUCGAGCCCCAUGUGGGGCUCCAUGGAUUCUCUAUCUUCCUCUGCCCCCUCACCUCUCUCUAAGAAACAAACAAAAAACCCAAGGAAAUCCGAAUAAAUGAUUAAAUUAAAUUAAGUAAUUAGGUAUCAGUAUUGGUUCUUUAAUUGUGACAAACGGAGCUCCUGGGUGUCUCAGUUGGUUAAACAUAUGCCUUGGGUUCAGGUCAUGAUCCCAGGGUCCUGCCAGCCCUGCCUUGGGCUCCACUCAGCAGGUAGUUUGCUUCUCCCUGUGCCCGUCCCCCCUGCUUGUAUGCACUCUCUCUCUCAAAAAUAAGAAUAAAUAAAAUCUUUAAAAAACCCAUUAAUUAUGACAAAUAUACCAUACCAAUGUGAGAUGCUAAUAAUGGGGGAACUGUGUGUGGGGAGAAGGAAUAUAUGGGAACUCUAUAGUAUCUUUGUAAUUUUUCUGUAAGUCUAAAACCAUUCUGAAAAAUGAAGCUUAUUAAUUUAAAAAAAAUUAAAAUAGAAAAUGUAUACAGACAUUAUUGCAAAUAUUUGUGUUCCACCCAUGCGUAAA